rnacentral:lncRNA from 1 species
GAAGAGUCGGAGAUGGUGGAAAUCUAGGCUAGGUGUUGUGAAGAACAAGAGCCAAGUUUGAUGAGGCCAUCAGGGACCAGCAACAGAAACAUGAGGUCAGUCCAGCCUGGGGCAGUUUCUCUCCAAGAGAAGAUGGAGGAAGGACAGCUAAGUGACUGGAAAUUUGACUUGCCUUCAUGUCAAGAGAUACCUGCACCUUUUGGAAACAACAAACCCUUUGUGGUACCUCAGUGGGAUCAUCAGUGGGGCAUGGCCCUCUCCUGGAUGACGUUCUCAUGCUGCUUUGCAAAGAGAAUGUAUAACAGGAUUUGUACAGGGCUGCAAAUGCUGAAGAUGACAGUUAAGGAAGAUGAAAACUCCAUAAAAGGAGAUCCUGGUAAGGAACAUGGAACUAACAAUCCAACACCAACUGGAAGAAUUGGUAAUGGUCAAAAGGAAAUGCCAUAUGUCCUACCAAUCUCCCAGAAAUCUCCUUGCUGGAAUCCAUCUUGGCUGAGCAAAGUGUGUACCAUCAAGAAGGACCUUGAGCCAGAAUGAUUGGCCAGAGGCAACCUGGAAACUAAUCCCAUCACCAUAAAGCCUGAGACUGAGCAGCCCUCCUGGGAUCCCUCAUCCUCCUGCUCUCCGCCCUUCUCAAUAAAGUCGCUUGCUUCAUCAGCAUCUGUGUCUCCUUGGACAAUUCAUUUCCGAGUGUUAGACAAGAGCCCACUCUUGGGGGCAGGAAGGAGUCCUCUGUCCUGCAAAAUGAGGACCUUCCAAGAAGUACAAAGUUUUAGUUGUGACGUAAUAAACUGGAUUAAAAUUUUCUUACAUUUUUGGAGAAGAUGCCUGAUUGUUUCAAUUAGGAUCGACUGAAGUAAAGAACAAAGCAGCAAAGUGUGUGUGUGUGCACGCACGCACACAUGCACCAUCACAC